CGUACACUCCUGCGGGAGGCAGCAGUGGGGAAUAUUGCACAAUGGGCGCAAGCCUGAUGCAGCCAUGCCGCGUGUAUGAAGAAGGCCUUCGGGUUGUAAAGUACUUUCAGCGGGGAGGAAGGCGAUAAGGUUAAUAACCUUGUCGAUUGACGUUACCCGCAGAAGAAGCACCGGCUAACUCCGUGCCAGCAGCCGCGGUAAUACGGAGGGUGCAAGCGUUAAUCGGAAUUACUGGGCGUAAAGCGCACGCAGGCGGUCUGUCAAGUCGGAUGUGAAAUCCCCGGGCUCAACCUGGGAACUGCAUUCGAAACUGGCGGGCUAGAGUCUUGUAGAGGGGGGUAGAAUUCCAGGUGUAGCGGUGAAAUGCGUAGAGAUCUGGAGGAAUACCGGUGGCGAAGGCGGCCCCCUGGACAAAGACUGACGCUCAGGUGCGAAAGCGUGGGGAGCAAACAGGAUUAGAAACCCCAGUAGUCCCAUGA
rnacentral:rRNA from 1 species